rnacentral:rRNA from 1 species
GAUUGAACGCUGGCGGCAGGCCUAACACAUGCAAGUCGAACGGUAACAGGAAGCAGCUUGCUGCUUYGCUGACGAGUGGCGGACGGGUGAGUAAUGUCUGGGAAACUGCCUGAUGGAGGGGGAUAACUACUGGAAACGGUGGCUAAUACCGCAUAACGUCGCAAGACCAAAGAGGGGGACCUUCGGGCCUCUUGCCAUCAGAUGUGCCCAGAUGGGAUUAGCUKGUUGGUGAGGUAACGGCUCACCAAGGCGACGAUCCCUAGCUGGUCUGAGAGGAUGACCAGCCACACUGGAACUGAGACACGGUCCAGACUCCUACGGGAGGCAGCAGUGGGGAAUAUUGCACAAUGGGCGCAAGCCUGAUGCAGCCAUGCCGCGUGUAUGAAGAAGGCCUUCGGGUUGUAAAGUACUUUCAGCGGGGAGGAAGGUGUUGUGGUUAAUAACCGCAGCAAUUGACGUUACCCGCAGAAGAAGCACCGGCUAACUCC